CACUGAUUGAGCACCUGGUGAAGGGACACAGCCCCGGAGCACAGGUGAAAGCAACUCAGGAAGGAGUGGAACCUGGUUGCACCACACCUCCCUCAGCCUCAUUUAAGGGCUGGCUGCUGUGGGUGGAGGUUCUUUGUUUGGGGAUCCCUCCUUUUGGAGUGUUUUGCAGGCCCUGAUCUUUGGGACAGGCUCUGUGUUUCACGUUGCAUUUCUCCAUCGUGGGCACUGGUUGCACUGCGAGAGGUGUGGUGGGCAGGGAUGGAGCAUGGGGACCUCCUGGUCCCAGCAGCCAAGAGAAGGACAUGGGACAAGGAGGAGAAGCUCCCAAGUUUUCCUGCUGCUAGAACUUAGGGUUGGUUUCAAUGGCUUGCAAUAAGGUGGAAGAAAAGCCUGGCUGCAAGGUGAGAUGCUGAGAAUAGGGAAGAUGUUCCCAAAGCCUCAAAUAAAUGAGGUGAGAAACAUGCUGUCCUCAGCCAAAUGCCUGCUCUCAAGCGUUAUUUGAACAGUUUCCUAAACAUCUCUCUGCAAAGUCCUGUAAUGAAAGGAGUGGUUUCCUUUGGCUCCCUUCCCAGACCUACCCAACAGAAGGAUGCUGACCUAAGGCUGUUAAACACUUUGAUGUAUGGCCGCGUCUCCUUAAGUAGAAGAUCCAUAUUCUUAAGCUAAGCUGCCAUGACACGGGGACAUUAUGAACUCUCUGAACCAACUGAAUCCUACAAAUGAGCCAUUAGUUGGCUGCACGGCGCGUUGGCUCCCUGCGCCCAAGGGGGCUCCCGUUAAAGAAGAUAAUCGUUGCUGUCCACACGCCCUGCGGGCUGCUGUGUGUUCAUUUUAAUGCAAUUUGUUUCAGCCAACCCCUUUCCAAGUCAGAAAACCCCCACGCUGCUGGGCUGGGGGGAGCUGUGGUUCUAUGGUGCCCAAUGAAGGAGGGUUCAGUGAGUUUUGCCUUUCUCCUUGGACUGGAAACUGGAGGAAGAUCUACCCAUCAUUCAUCAAGACAUGACUUCUAUUUGCCCUGAUGCCAAAUGCUAUGUGUGGCUCAUGGUAGCUGUGCCUGAGGUACCCAUUGGAAACCAGCGUCAUUGAGAGGAGAUGCCGUGGGGUAUUUGGAGAUGCUGAAAGCAGCAAAUGGGAGAUCCUGGAAGCUGCAAACACUGAGCACUGAGCCCAGCUCAUGCUCUCAGGCAGCUGUGGUGCAUCUCCGUGCUCCCCUGAGCCACAUGCAGGUGCUGGGGAGAGCAUCUUGGAGAGAUGCUCUGGUUGAAAGGAGCACUGUGGAGUCUUAGUAUGAAAAAAAAAACCUAGAAAAAAGGCUAGGAGAGGAAAAAAGUGUAAAAAUGACCGAUUUUUAUCAAGUAAGGGUAAGAUCUCAUCCAGCAAGCCCAGCAUGCAGCAAAAGCCCUGGGAGGUUUUGCACACCCUGUGCAUCCCAGCA
ensembl:lncRNA